AAUCACAACAAUGUUAAGUAACGAGUGCAGCAAAUCAACCGUGGCAACUGACGAUGAAAUUUGGCAUUUACCAACUCAACCUAUGGCUACUACUGACGAUUCAGAGUACUUUGAUUAUGCAUUGGAAGCAUUAAUUUUUGUGGAAUAUCAAGAAUUGAAUGACAAACCGCUAAAUAUCAUCAACGAUCCUACAUUACCUACAGAAUG